rnacentral:miRNA from 1 species
AGGGUGACCAGCUGGCCUGGUUUGCCUGGGACUGGGGGGGUUCCCAGAACAUGGGACUUGCAUGCUAAACCUGGGAGGCGCUGGUCACU